UGACAUCCGUAUGCAAGACUAGAGGAGAUACAUGGGUGGUGUAUAUGCGCGAGCAUAUGGACACUUAUGUAUUUAAUUAAGUUGUUCAUGCACGCAUCGAUCGAUCCCAAUAUUACGAUACAACAGUGAGCUAUUAUAUGCUCAUGAGGUGCCGAUGUACUUGUCGAUGAGUGUGGUGAGCGUGGACUUUGGGACGGCGCCGAUGACGCUCUCCUUCUUCUCGCCGGCCUUGAAGAUGAGCACGGUGGGGAUGCUGCGGAUGCCGUAGGUGGACGCCACGUUGGGGCUCUCGUCCGUGUUCACCUUGCAGCACGUGAUCUUGCCGGCGUAGUCCUUGGCCAGCUCGUCGAUCACCGGCGCGAUCAUCCUGCACGGCCCGCACCACGGCGCCCAGAACUCCACCAGCACCGGCGUCUCGCACGCCAUCACCA
rnacentral:lncRNA from 1 species